GUGCUACAAUACGGAUGCGGUUCGACUGCGUACUACAAAAAUGAGAGACUUGAAAUGAAUCCUAAAAAAAAAAAGUUAACACUGUUCCUAAUAUAACGCUGGCUUCUGUACUGUUUCACUGCUUCCGUAAUCGUAGAGUUUAACCUUUAAUUUUAAAUCUGUCCUCAUAUAUGAAAGGGUUAUGCAAAGAGGAACACAGAAGAAGACGAAGAAGAAGAAGAAAUAAUAAAUGUAUAAUUACAAAGUGUAUAAAUAAAUGAGGAUGUCGGUGUGCUGAAACAGCUGCUAAGAGAUGAAGUAAUUCAUGAAGGAGAUGUACCCUUUCAUGAACCCUAUUGCACGUGGGAGGAGGGUUCGGUUUUAGGUUCUAUCGACCCAGGUCAGUUUCUAAUUUCUUGGUAGUUUUAAAAAAAAAACUGCUGCAACCUUUGCUCUAGAGCAAGUAAGCCUGUCCCUCGUUUAAGCAGGAUCAUUAUUAAUAACAUGCAUUCUAAUUACAGUAAAAAUCUAAAACACCUAGUUUUAUAUACUGUACACUCCACUCAUGUUUCAUGGGGGAAGUACUAUACUAUACAGUAUGGCCCCUGUCUCCCCAACACUGGGCCCUUUUCACAAAGCUUUCAACUGUGAAUAAAAUAAAAAAUAAGAUGGUCGCAUUUUUCUAGGCUGUUGUUAAAAUAAACAAACAAUAUCAAACUAUACUUUAUUAAUAAACAUUCUUUAAAUAACUCCUGAUGUUAAGGCCCCUCUGUCUUCUAAUAUACAUUUUCUAAUUGAUGACAUUGAUAGAAUGACAAUGCGACAAAAUAAGAAAGCAAUGAGGAUGGAAUGUAAAUGAAAAACACUUCAUUGAAUCAAUAGUUAACUGAAUCAACUGCAUAUUGUAAUCAAAUGUCACAUUACCUGGCAAUUCACCCCAUAAGCCACUUACUAAACAAAUGUAUCAUGACCACAAUCACGGUAUCAGCUCUCUGUUCCGAUAUACAAAGGUUCACAAAGGCAGCAUCUGUAUUAGAAUGGAUUAUCUUUAAAUUCUCCCCUCAGUAUUGCAAAUGUGCAAUGCUUGUAGAGUUUUCAAAUAUAAACGCUGUGCAACAAACAGGGUUCAAAGUUAAAUAAGGCCCAGUUUCUUAGCUUACUGAUAAUAGGACAGGCUUUCCUGUACAAAAUAAUCAUUAAAAAAAAAAAUAAAUAAAUAAUGGUAAUCUACCUGAAAAAUAUUUCUGUCAAUUAACCUUUUUUCCCCCCUUUGUUCCUACAUACUGUAGUCACCUCACACAAUUACCCCAAUACAAAAAAAAAAAAAACAAUUACCAGCUCAAUCCUCCUGGCUGAGCA